rnacentral:rRNA from 1 species
GACGAACGCUGGCGGCGUGCUUAACACAUGCAAGUCGAACGGAAAGGCCCUGCUUUUGUGGGGUGCUCGAGUGGCGAACGGGCGAGUAACACGUGAGUAACCUGCCCUUGACUUUGGGAUAACUUCAGGAAACUGGGGCUAAUACCGGAUAGGAGCUCCUGCUGCAUGGUGGGGGUUGGAAAGUUUCGGCGGUUGGGGAUGGACUCGCGGCUUAUCAGCUUGUUGGUGUGGUAGUGGCUUACCAAGGCUUUGACGGGUAGCCGGCCUGAGAGGGUGACCGGCCACAUUGGGACUGAGAUACGGCCCAGACUCCUACGGGAGGCAGCAGUGGGGAAUAUUGCACAAUGGGCGGAAGCCUGAUGCAGCAACGCCGCGUGCGGGAUGACGGCCUUCGGGUUGUAACCCGCUUUCGCCUGUGACGAAGCGUGAGUGACGGUAAUGGGUAAAGAAGCACCGGCUAACUACGUG